UACGUAGGGGGCAAGCGUUGUCCGGAAUUAUUGGGCGUAAAGAGCUCGUAGGCGGUCUGUCGCGUCGGCUGUGAAAUCCCGAGGCUCAACCUCGGGUCUGCAGUCGAUACGGGCAAACUGGAGUGUUGCAGGGGAGACUGGAAUUCCUGGUGUAGCGGUGAAAUGCGCAGAUAUCAGGAGGAACACCGGUGGCGAAGGCGGGUCUCUGGGCAACAACUGACGCUGAGGAGCGAAAGCGUGGGGAGCGAACAGG
rnacentral:rRNA from 1 species